rnacentral:misc_RNA from 1 species
UUUCCGUAGGUGAACCUGCGGAAGGAUCAUUCAUAAUAAAGCGUUUUAUGGCACUUUUUAAAAAUCCAUAUCCACCUUGUGUGCAAUGUUAGAUCUCGUCAAUCUUGGCGAGAUUUUUAUACAUCAACUCAUUCUUUAACUAAUUUGUCUGAAAAAUAUUAUGAAUACUUGAUUCAAAAUACAACUUUCAACAACGGAUCUCUUGGCUCUC